rnacentral:lncRNA from 1 species
AUCCCAAUCCAAUCCCCAUCCCCUUCUCUCGUAUCAUUUUCCUUUUCCAACUUUUCCUUUGUAACUAGUAUGAGUGUUAGUGAGUAAUCUCCUUGCUAAAGGAGAAUAUUAUGUAAAUAUCAAGAAGUUCUUCCUUAGGGAAGAACAGUUAUGAAUAAAUAUCAGUUUCCUUUUUAUCCCUUUGUUCAUCUUUAAAGAUUUUUGCAAAACCUGGAGCCCUGGAGCCAUAAAAGUACCGUUUAGGCAGGAGGCCGCGUAGGGAAGAAUUGGUUGGGUUGGUCACUUGGAAAAAUCAACUUAAAGAUUUACCUAGUCGAAAAAAGAGGAAAGAUUGUUAAAUGGAUGGCGGUGACCCAACUCGGCAUGGUGCUCAAGAACGAGAGAAAUAAGGUUAUAUGAAUAGAAGGUCACCAAUGCUCCAAUCACCAACGAUAAAACUCCGGCAGUCCAUCCUAGUGAUGCAAAUGCAAAUGGUAGACUUAACAACGGCGGUGCUACAAUGGACGUCGUCAAAUGAUAUCCGCUAUGCCACCAUGACCCUGCCACGUAUUACAUUAUAUCCAUUAAUAACUUGAAUUGGAUAAAUAAUUCUAGGGUAAGUUGUAACAAUGCAAACCAUAAGUUAAUGGUUGUACUCGAUUCUUAGUUGCAUCAUUACACGUUGUCUAGGUGGCGUUUGGUUGAUAUAUAUAAAUGAAUCCAUGUAUU